rnacentral:rRNA from 1 species
AUGAUACAUAUAAUGGCAGAGUUCUACGGAUCUGAGAUGAUGGUGCCGUUCGGACCAAAGACAAUAACAAAUCUGUGUACAAGUUUCCAUAGAGAUGACACAAAGGAGGGUGACAUGAUUGAGACAAUUGCGCACUUCAAAGAUAUACAGAAAACCGAUCCAGACUUCUUCUAUAAGUUGAUGGCAACCCUCGAGGACCUCCUCCACCUCCAGGCCCUACACAGCAUGGUCCUUCACCUCCUCCCCUGCCUGGUCCAACAAGCCGUGCCCUGCGUGCUCCUCCCAAUGGCCCUACAGGGAGUACUCAGGGGGCUCGUCAUCCAGGUGAUUACCACCCAAGUGCCAUGA